rnacentral:rRNA from 1 species
UAGGUAACCUGCCUUUCACUGGGGGACAACGGUCCGAAAGGACCGCUAAUACCGCAUACGUCGUCCGGGACUUCGGUCCUGGAUGGGAAAGCUGGGGCAACCUGGCGGUGGAAGAGGGGCCUGCGUCGCAUCAGCUAGUUGGUGGGGUAACGGCCUACCAAGGCUAAGACGCGUAGCUGGUCUGAGAGGAUGAUCAGCCACACUGGGACUGAGACACGGCCCAGACUCCUACGGGAGGCAGCAGUGGGGAAUAUUGGACAAUGGGCGCAAGCCUGAUCCAGCCACGCCGCGUGAGUGAUGAAGGCCUUCGGGUCGUAAAGCUCUGUGGGGAGGGACGAACCGCCGGUAGUUAAUACCUAUCGGCAUGACGGUACCUCCUUAGCAAGCACCGGCUAACUUCGUGCCAGCAGCCGCGGUAA